AAGAAAGUGACAGAAUGGUUAUGUAUUUGGCUUGAAACCAGACUAUNGGGGUUCAAUUCCCUCCUUUCUCG
rnacentral:tRNA from 1 species